GCCAUGAUUGUGAGGCUUCUUCAGCCACGUGGAACUGUCUGCUGUGGUUUGCUGGGGUGCUACUCCUGACCCUAGUUGCCUUAGUUUUUCCCGUACCUGGGGGUAUCACCAGUGAAGGCUGUAAAAAGGCAAAGAUGGCAGCCUGCCCCUUCCUCUGGAAGCUCUGUUCCAGGUGCCGUGGAAGUGUGGCCUGCAGAACAAUGCUGCUCAGCUCCCUGGAUUCUGACCACUUCCUAGGGGUAUGUGCAGACCUCUUGCCUUGCCUGAGUUGCAAACAUGUUUGUUGGAAAUCCCAGUGCCGGAGUACGUAAAGCACCUGGGUCUCUGUGCAUGCCUGAACAGCUGCUCUGCCAAGACUCCACAUAGCUCAGUGUGUUGGACCUAAGGCCCUGGUGGUAUGGGCUCACAAAGGGAAUCUACUGAUCCAUGGAUUACAAAGAUCCAUGGGAGAAGCCUGGUUUCCUGGGGUUGCACAAUCACUCAUGGCUUCCCUUGGCUAGGGAUGGGGGUUCCCUUGGCAAGAACCUGGGUAUUUCAUUUGAAGGUGCUGUAUUCACUCACCUUUUUUGUUACUCUCUGUGAGUGCUGUGGACCACAGUUGCUUCUAAUUGGCCAUCUUGGACCCUCCCUGAUGUUCUACCUUCCAAAUCUUUAAAAACAAUUUUCUUAACCAUAUUCAUCAUGGUUUUUUAAAAAGUACAUGUUUAGUAACCAUUAUUUGUAUCUCAUGUGGGUCUACUUUCUUAUUUUGCGUAUGUGUCUUGCCUCAUGAUAUGUCUUAUUACUUUCAAUUAUUGGUCAUUCAAAAUUGUAUUUGAAAAUUAUAGAGAUUGUUAGAAGUUUAGAAUGAUGUCAUGUUCUUCUAGAAAUGAUUUAUGUUUACAAAUCCAGAUAUAUAUUCAGGAAUUAGUGUAUUAAGCUGAAUAUCAGUCCCUGCAAAGCCCUGUCAAUUUCUAGUAUUACCUUCCUCCUACUGUAGUGCCCUUUAGGGUUCUAACAAAAGACCUGUAGUCCAUCAGGAUCCUCAAUCCUUGGCAGGUCUUGAACCCCAAUUUUGUCCUACUAACUAUGAAAUCUGUUUACAUCCUUGCUUAGCUUGUGUCUCCUGGAAUUGGCAGAUAUCCCUAGGGGAAAAUCAGCCUGAGGUACCUGGUUUAACUCUGGGUUUCUCCCAGAAUUUGGCCACCUAAUUUUUCUCUAUAUUUUUAGUCCUUAGAUGCUGUGAGAUCCAUGUUUGCAUAAGCUUUUUCACUUCUUUUUAUCUGUUCUCAGUGGAAUGAUUGGUCUGAUUACUUUGCCAUUACUAGAUGAGUGUGUUUUACUUUUUUAUUGAAUGUCCAAAAUAUGGUAUACUCUCUAUAAAAAAUCCAUAUUUAUACCUAUUCUGAUUUUGAAUAAGGGAAGACUAUUGAAUGAAUUAAUGAAAUAUGGGGGUUUCACGUUUUAUUUCUCUGGACAAUGUUUUAUUUACUUAAUUAAAGACCUCUGUUUUGUGUAUAAUGCUCUGCAAACAAACAUUUUAGUUGUACAGGUAUGUUUUAAUUUUUCCUAUUCUAUUUGUAGUUCAAGACUUGACAAAAAUGUUAUUUUCACCAUGAGCCUUUUUUUGAUAUCUCCAGGCAAAAUAGUUGUUUUCUCUUUAGGAUCUCCAUAUUUAUUUUACAGUCUUAAAAUCACUGUAACCAUCUA
rnacentral:lncRNA from 1 species